AUAAAAAUUUUAUAAUUUUGAAAGUUUAAUUUAAAUUUAUUUUACAUAUAAAUUUUAGUGUUAAUUUUUUAUUAUUUUAAUAAUAUUAAAGAAUAUUUAAUAGUAAUUAAAAUUAAAUAUUUAAGAAAUUAAGAUUUAGUAAUAUUUAUAAAUUAUAAACAAAUUUUGUGCCAGCAGUUGCGGUUACACAAAAUAUAAUUUAAAUUUUAUUAGUAAAUAAUAAGUAAUUAAUAAAUUAAAAUUAAAUUUUAAAUUAUUAGGUGAAAUUUUAAUUUAAAAAAAUUUUUAAUUAAGAUUAUGAUUUAUAAAAUUUUUUUAAAAACUAGGAUUAGAUACCCUAUUAUUAAAAAUUAAAUUAAUAAUACUAAAAUAGUAGAUAAUAAUUUAUUAAAACUUAAAUAAAUUGGCGGUAUUUUAGUUCAUUUAGAGGAAUCUGUUUAAUAAUUGAUAAUCCACGAAUAAAUUUACUUAAUUAUUUAAUUUUGUAUAUCGUUGUUAAAAAAAUAUUUUUUAAUAAAAAUAAUAUUUUAAUAUUAGGAAAAAAAAAUUAAUUCAGAUCAAGAUGCAGAUUAUAUUUAAGAAUAUAAUGGAUUACAAUAAUAAUAAAAAUUAAAUGAAUAAUAUUUUUUAAAAAAUAUUUGAAGGUGGAUUUAAAUGUAAUUUUUUUUUUAGUUUAUAAAAAUGAUUUAAAAUUAAAAUAUGUACAUAUUGCCCGUCGCUUUCAUUAAUAAAUUGAAAUAAGUCGUAACAAAGUAGAGGUACUGGAAAGUGUUUCUAGA
rnacentral:ncRNA from 1 species